AUUGAACGCUGGCGGCAGGCCUAACACAUGCAAGUCGAGCGGCAGCGGGAAAGUAGCUUGCUACUUUUGCCGGCGAGCGGCGGACGGGUGAGUAAUGCCUGGGAAAUUGCCCAGUCGAGGGGGAUAACAGUUGGAAACGACUGCUAAUACCGCAUACGCCCUACGGGGGAAAGCAGGGGACCUUCGGGCCUUGCGCGAUUGGAUAUGCCCAGGUGGGAUUAGCUAGUUGGUGAGGUAAUGGCUAACCAAGGCGACGAUCCCUAGCUGGUCUGAGAGGAUGAUCAGCCACACGGGAACUGAGACACGGUCCAGACUCCUACGGGAGGCAGCAGUGGGGAAUAUUGCACAAUGGGGGAAACCCUGAUGCAGCCAUGCCGCGUGUGUGAAGAAGGCCUUCGGGUUGUAAAGCACUUUCAGCGAGGAGGAAAGGUUGAUGCCUAAUACGUAUCAACUGUGACGUUACUCGCAGAAGAAGCACCGGCUAACUCCGUGCCAGCCGCCGCGGUAACAC
rnacentral:rRNA from 1 species